rnacentral:rRNA from 1 species
UACGAAGGGGGCGAGCGUUGUUCGGAUUUACUGGGCGUAAAGGGCGCGCAGGCGGUCAUUUUUGUCGAGUGUGAAGCCCCGGGCCUUACCUGGGAGGUGCGCGCGAAACGGCGGGGCUGGGAGUUCGGGAGAGGAGAGUGGAAUUCCCGAGUGUAGAGGUGAAAUUCGUAGAUAUUGGGUAAGAACACCGGUGGCGAAGGCGGCUCUCUGGACCGAGACUGACGCUGAGGCGCGAAAAGCGUGGGGGAGCAAACAGG